GCCCGGUUAGCUCAAUUGGAUAGAGCGUGAGACUCUUAAUCUCAAGGUUGCGGGUGAGUAACCAUCUAUUCGAUUCGAGAGCAAAGAGAAUCCGAUAUUAACUCUGCCAUCAUAGGUUCGACCCCCGCAUUGGGCU